AACCCACACUGAGGACAUUUCUGUAGAAGAUCCUUGAACCUAUCCCAUGUCUCGAAAAGAGACUCCAAUUCCAUUUGUACAAAAAAGGAUAUUUCAUUCCUAAGUUU